ACCAGACUCCUACGGGAGGCAGCAGUGGGGAAUAUUGCACAAUGGGGGAAACCCUGAUGCAGCGACGCCGCGUGAGUGAAGAAGUAUUUCGGUAUGUAAAGCUCUAUCAGCAGGGAAGAAGAUGACGGUACCUGACUAAGAAGCCCCGGCUAACUACGUGCCAGCAGCCGCGGUAAUACGUAGGGGGCAAGCGUUAUCCGGAUUUACUGGGUGUAAAGGGAGCGUAGACGGCGAUGCAAGCCAGAUGUGAAAGCCCGGGGCCCAACCCCGGGACUGCUCUUGGAACUGCGCGGCUGGAGUGCAGGAGGGGCAGGCGGAAUUCCUGGUGUAGCGGUGAAAUGCGUAGAUAUCAGGAGGAACACCGGUGGCGAAGGCGGCCUGCUGGGCUUUUACUGACGCUGAGGCUCGAAAGUGUGGGGAGCAAACAGGAUUAGAUACCCGAGUA
rnacentral:rRNA from 1 species